GAUGUUAGCGGCGGACGGGUGAGUAACACGUGGGUAACCUGCCUGUAAGACUGGGAUAACUCCGGGAAACCGGAGCUAAUACCGGAUAGUUCCUUGAACCGCAUGGUUCAAGGAUGAAAGACGGUUUCGGCUGUCACUUACAGAUGGACCCGCGGCGCAUUAGCUAGUUGGUGAGGUAACGGCUCACCAAGGCGACGAUGCGUAGCCGACCUGAGAGGGUGAUCGGCCACACUGGGACUGAGACACGGCCCAGACUCCUACGGGAGGCAGCAGUAGGGAAUCUUCCGCAAUGGACGAAAGUCUGACGGAGCAACGCCGCGUGAGUGAUGAAGGUUUUCGGAUCGUAAAGCUCUGUUGUUAGGGAAGAACAAGUGCAAGAGUAACUGCUUGCACCUUGACGGUACCUAACCAGAAAGCCACGGCUAACUACGUGCCAGCAGCCGCGGUAAUACGUAGGUGGCAAGCGUUGUCCGGAAUUAUUGGGCGUAAAGGGCUCGCAGGCGGUUUCUUAAGUCUGAUGUGAAAGCCCCCGGCUCAACCGGGGAGGGUCAUUGGAAACUGGGAAACUUGAGUGCAGAAGAGGAGAGUGGAAUUCCACGUGUAGCGGUGAAAUGCGUAGAGAUGUGGAGGAACACCAGUGGCGAAGGCGACUCUCUGGUCUGUAACUGACGCUGAGGAGCGAAAGCGUGGGGAGCGAACAGGAUUAGAUACCCUGGUAGUCCACGCCGUAAACGAUGAGUGCUAAGUGUUUAGGGGGUUUCCGCCCCUUAGUGCUGCAGCUAACGCAUUAAGCACU
rnacentral:rRNA from 1 species